ensembl:snRNA
GCCAUCCUUUUCUUGGGGUUGCGCUACUGUCCAAUGAGCGGUUAGUGAGGGCACUACUGCUAACGCCUGAACAACACGCUCGAACACUCUGCGGGAUGACUAAUCAGCUUGCAAACCGGGGCCCACGUGAAGGUGGAGAGGAUCUGAAGAA